GACGAACGCUGGCGGCGUGCUUAACACAUGCCAGUCGAACGGAAAGGCCCUGCUUUUGUGGGGUGCUCGAGUGGCGAACGGGUGAGUAACACGUGAGUAACCUGCCCCUGACUUUGGGAUAACUUCAGGAAACUGGGGCUAAUACCGGAUAGGAGCUCCUGCUGCAUGGUGGGGGUUGGAAAGUUUCGGCGGUUGGGGAUGGACUCGCGGCUUAUCAGCUUGUUGGUGGGGUAGUGGCUUACCAAGGCUUUGACGGGUAGCCGGCCUGGGAGGGUGACCGGCCACAUUAGGACUGAGAUACGGCCCAGACUCCUACGGGAGGCAGCAGUGGGGAAUGGUGCACAAUGGGCGGAAGCCUGAUGCAGCAACGCCGCGUGCGGGAUGACGGCCUUCGGGUUGUAAACCGCUUUCGCCUGUGACGAAGCGUGAGUGACGGUAAUGGGUAAAGAAGCACCGGCUAACUACGUG
rnacentral:rRNA from 1 species